UACGUAGGGGCCUAGCGUUGUCCGGAAUUAUUGGGCGUAAAGCGUCCGCAGGUGGCGAUUCAAGUCUGCGGUCAAAGACUGGGGCUUAACCCUGGAAAGGCCGUGGAAACUGAAUAGCUAGAGUGCAGUAGGGGUAGAGGGAAUUCCCGGUGUAGCGGUGAAAUGCGUAGAGCUCGGGAAGAACAUCGGUGGCGAAAGCGCUCUGCUGGACUGCAACUGACACUCAGGGACGAAAGCUAGGGGAGCGAAUGGG
rnacentral:rRNA from 1 species